rnacentral:misc_RNA from 1 species
AAGAUAUAUAAAACUAUAUAUUAUAUUACAUGACUUUGAUGAACACAUUACUCUUUGCAGGAAAACUACUAGACAUACGUAGCAUACAUAUAUAUAUAUAUAUAACAAUUUAAUUGUGACAUAUAACAAGCUAAUUAAUAAAGAGUAUUUUUUCUACUAUAGAUACCGCAACUUAGAUCUAAGAUACACUUGUCCAUGCUACUCCAUAACUUGUCCAUGCUACUCCAUAAGCAUAUGAUUUCUAGAGCAUCUAAUUCCCUCAUUUCUCAUUCUUUUGUAUCUCAAUUCUUUGAACAGUCUCCACGAAUGUUUUCCAUGGUACAUCUCCAGCAAGCAUCCAGUCUCCUUCUCUGUCUUGGUACAAGAUUGUAAAGCGUGUACUAUUUUUUCCACUAUUUUGAUAUCUUGCAAACAUUUGAAGUAAAUUUUGGGUAAAAAGUUGAUAAGAAUGAUAGAGCCUUAGAUCAACCUUCCUUCCUAUUGGCACCCCUUCCAUCUUCACCUUUACAUACAUAGAGUUUCUUCCUCCAACAAUAACAUUAUUAUUAUUAUUAUUGUUAU